rnacentral:pre_miRNA from 1 species
AUUCUACUCCCUCUGUUGCACAAUACAUGCCUUCUAUUUGUCAAAAUAUAUAUGUAUCUAGACAUGUUUUAGUAUAUAGGUACAUCCAUUUUUGGACAAAUGCAAGUCAAGUAUUUUGGAACGGAGGGAGUACACA